CUACGGGUCGCUCCAGUGGGGAAUAUUGCACAAUGGGGGGAACCCUGAUGCAGCAACGCCGCGUGGAGGAUGACGCAUUUCGGUGUGUAAACUCCUUUUAUAUGUCAAGAAAAUGACGGUAGCAUAUGAAUAAGCACCGGCUAACUCCGUGCCAGCAGCCGCGGUAAUACGGAGGGUGCAAGCGUUACUCGGAAUCACUGGGCGUAAAGGACGCGUAGGCGGGUUGGAAAGUCAGGUGUGAAAUCCUACAGCUUAACUGUAGAACUGCACUUGAAACUUCUAAUCUAGAGUAUGGGAGGGGGAAAUGGAAUUAGUGGUGUAGGGGUAAAAUCCGUAGAUAUCACUAGGAAUACCUAAAGCGAAGGCGAUCUCCUGGAACAUUACUGACGCUAAGGCGUGAAAGCGUGGGGAGCAAACAGGAUUAGAUACCCUCGUAGUC
rnacentral:rRNA from 1 species